UACGUAGGGUGCAAGCGUUGUCCGGAAUUAUUGGGCGUAAAGAGCUCGUAGGCGGUUUGUCGCGUCUGCUGUGAAAACUCGGGGCUUAACUCUGGGCCUGCAGUGGGUACGGGCAGACUAGAGUGUGGUAGGGGAGGACUGGAAUUCCGAUUGGUGUAGCGGUGGAAAUGCGCAGAUAUCAGGAGGAACACCAGUGGCGAAGGCGGCUCACUGGUCCGGUAACUGACGCUGAGGUGCGAAAGCGUGGGGAGCAAACAGG
rnacentral:rRNA from 1 species